rnacentral:sRNA from 1 species
AGUUUAUCAAGCACACUACAGCAAAACAGAACUGCUACCUUAAGCGAAAUAUAUUUGUGUUGACUAAUAGAAUACUUCAAGGACAGUAAAUUCUACUAGAAGAACUUUUUGGAAGAAAAAAAAAAUUUAAGGAAAUUCUUGGAACUUUUGCUGAUUUAAAGAAAAGAAGAAAGAUGGCCAUUGUUUUACCUAAAGAGUUCCAGAUCGAAUCUGUCUUGGAAAGUUGUCAGGAGCAAGAGAUCGGGUUGGGGGUCUCAAUGAAGACAGAGUGCAGCUAUCCUCUCUCAGCAGUCUGCGCGGCGUCUCGAAGAAGCUUUGAACUGGGCAGUUACGUCCACAAAUCAAACAUUCUAUCUACCAGGACGUGAACAUGAAAACUUUGAGACUUAAGCUAAAGAAAAAUGUGUUCAACGCUUCCAGCUCUUGUUCAAAUGGCUGGGAAACGGUGCUGAGAGAACGUGUUCACUUUAGUGCAAACUCGUCGGCAGGAGGCCAGAAUAUUGUGACUUUAGUCCCUCAAAACAACUUUGGUUUCCGGUGGUUCGGAAACUUUUUCGACAUGAAUUCCAGUGAAUCUCACUACAGACUAUGAGAUUUAUUAUUUAUUUUCGUAAUUUAUUAUUUAUUUGACUAUUUAUUCCAAGCAUUUUAACGAAAGCCAUUUAUACAUUUCGUGUGAUGUUUUAUAAUACAUGUAUUAUUUAUUAACAUUUUGACUGCCCGAGACGUGUCGGAACUUUACCGAUGAAGUUACAGUUUUGCCAACAACUGAGAAUAUGGAAGAAAGAAGUGCAAGUAAUAAUAGCGGUGCAAGCGAACAGUCUUCAAAAGUUCUAGUCAUUAUGUCGUCUGUUUUCCUCAUUGAAUGUGACAAAUAUUGUGUAUGAAUCUGAUGUUGUUUUUACUGAUAAGAUAUUUAUGUAUUUAUUUUUAUAUACAUUGUUAUUUUUUGUUACAAAAAAAUAAAUUCAAUGAAAAAUG